AUUGAACGCUGGCGGCAGGCCUAACACAUGCAAGUCGAGCGGUAGCACAGAGCGCUUGCUCUCGGGUGACGAGCGGCGGACGGGUGAGUAAUGUCUGGGAAACUGCCUGAUGGAGGGGGAUAACUACCGGAAACGGUAGCUAAUACCGCCUAACGUCGCAAGACCAAAGUGGGGGCCCUUCGGUCCUCGUGCCAUCAGAUGUGCCCAGAUGGGAUUAGCUGGUAGGUGGGGUAACGGCUCACCUAGGCGACGAUCCCUAGCUGGUCUGAGAGGAUGACCAGACACACUGGAACUGAGACACGGUCCAGACUCCUACGGGAGGCAGCAGUGGGGAAUAUUGCACAAUGGGCGCAAGCCUGAUGCAGCCAUGCCGCGUGUGUGAAGAAGGCCUUCGGGUUGUAAAGCACUUUCAGCGGGGAGGAAGGCAUUAAGGUUAAUAACCUUAGUGAUUGACGUUACCCGCAGAAGAAGCACCGGCUAACUCCGUGCCAGCAGCCGCGGUAA
rnacentral:rRNA from 1 species